rnacentral:misc_RNA from 1 species
GAUGAAGAACGUAGCGAAAUGCGAUACGUAUGUGAAUUGCAAAUUCAGUGAAUCAUCGAGUCUUUGAACGCACAUUGCGCCCCCUGGUAUUCCGGGGGGCAUGCCUGUCCGAGCGUCAUUGCUGCCCUCAAGCACGGCUUGUGUGUUGGGCCCCGUCCUCCGAUCCCGGGGGACGGGCCCGAAAGGCAGCGGCGGCACCGCGUCCGGUCCUCGAGCGUAUGGGGCUUUGUCACCCGCUCUGUAGGCCCGGCCGGCGCUUGCCGAUCAACCCAAAUUUUUAUCCAGGUUGACCUCGGAUCAGGUAGGGAUACCCGCUGAACUUAAGCAUAUCAAUAAGCGGAGA